AUUGAACGCUGGCGGCAGGCCUAACACAUGCAAGUCGAACGAGUGGCGGACGGGUGAGUAAUGUCUGGGAAACUGCCUGAUGGAGGGGGAUAACUACUGGAAACGGUAGCUAAUACCGCAUACCAUCGGAUGUGCCCAGAUGGGAUUAGCUAGUAGGUGGGGUAAAGGCUCACCUAGGCGACGAUCCCUAGCUGGUCUGAGAGGAUGACCAGCAACACUGGAACGGAGACACGGUCCAGAGUCCUACGGGAGGCAGAAGUGGGGAAUAUUGCAAAAUGGGCGCAGGCCUGACGCAGACAUGCCGCGUGUAUGAAGAAGUCCUUCGGGGGGUAAAGUACUUUCAGCGGGGAGGCGUUACCCGACGAAGAAGCGACGGCUAACUCCGUGCCAGCCGCCGCGGUAAUAC
rnacentral:rRNA from 1 species